CGAACGCUGGCGGCGCGCCUACCACAUGCAAGUCGAACGAGCGAGAGAGAGCUUGCUUUCUUGAGCGAGUGGCGAACGGGUGAGUAACGCGUGAGGAACCUGCCUCAAAGAGGGGGACAACAGUUGGAAACGACUGCUAAUACCGCAUAAGCCCACGGUGCCGCAUGGCACAGAGGGAAAAGGAGCAAUCCGCUUUGAGAUGGCCUCGCGUCCGAUUAGCUAGUUGGUGAGGUAACGGCCCACCAAGGCGACGAUCGGUAGCCGGACUGAGAGGUUGAACGGCCACAUUGGGACUGAGACACGGCCCAGACUCCUACGGGAGGCAGCAGUGGGGAAUAUUGCACAAUGGGGGAAACCCUGAUGCAGCGACGCCGCGUGGAGGAAGAAGGUCUUCGGAUUGUAAACUCCUGUUGUUGGGGAAGAUAAUGACGGUACCCAACAAGGAAGUGACGGCUAACUACGUG
rnacentral:rRNA from 1 species